GAGGAGGUUCAAUACUAUUUUAAGUUUUUCUAUACUAAUUUUGAUAUUUUUAUCUUUUUAUAUUGAUAUUUAAAAAAAAUCUAAAUUUGGUUGUGAGAUUUUCAAAAAAUUAUAGCACAAAAGAAAUAGAGCUAUGAAGAAAGAAAUUCAAGCAAAUUUUUAAGAAGAAAGUUGUUGGAGUUUUCAAAUUAUAAAUUUUUAGAUUGAUUUGAGAUUUUCCUUGCCAUUUAUUGGAUUUUUUUCUUUUUUUAAUUCUCAAUAAGUUAAAUUUUGUUUAAAUUGAAUUAA
rnacentral:lncRNA from 1 species